AAAUCAUGAUGAGGAUAACUCCUCAAAAGCUCUCCAAAUAGCUCUCAUGCCUCAAACAAGGAUUCUAUUUCAUAUUGUUAGAAGCAACAUAUCUCCAUCAUAAGCUU